ensembl:lncRNA
AUACACACUUCAUCAGCUUAUCCUGGCUCUUCAAUAAAUACAAGAAGUGCUUCAACUGAUAAUGCAAAGCAAUGAAAAUGUGUACCAUUCGUCAGCGUCUUUACGCCACGCCGGUCGUUCGUCGGCGUCUUUACAGUAAAGGUUGUCGUUCGUCGGCGUCUUUACAGUAAAGGUUGUCGUUCGUCGGCGUCUUUACAGUAAAGGUUGUCGUUCGUCGGCGUCUUUACAGUAAGGUUGUCGUUCGUCGGCGUCUUUACAGUAAAGGCUGCCGUUCGUCGGCGUCUUUACAGUAAGGCUGUCGUUCGUCGGCGUCUUUACAGUAAGGCUGCCGUUCGUCGGCGUCUUUACAGUAAGGCUGCCUUUCGUCGGCGUAUUUACAGUAAGGUUGUCGUUCGUCGGCGUCUUUACAGUAAAGGCUGUCGUUCGUCGGCGUCUUUACAGUAAAGGUUGUCGUUCGUCGGCGUCUUUACAGUAAGGCUGUCGUUCGUCGGCGUCUUUACAGUAAGGCUGUCGUUCGUCGGCGUCUUUACAGUAAAGGCUGUCGUUCGUCGGCGUCUUUACAGUAAAGGCUGUCGUUCGUCGGCGUCUUUACAGUAAAGGUUGUCGUUCGUCGGCGUCUUUACAGUAAAGGUUGUCGUUCGUCGGCGUCUUUACAGUAAAGGUUGUCGUUCGUCGGCGUCUUUACAGUAAAGGUUGUCGUUCGUCGGCGUCUUUACAGUAAAGGUUGUCGUUCAUCGGCGUCUUUACAGUAAAGGUUGUCGUUCGUCAGUGUCUUUACAGGAAGCUGGACAUUUGUCAGCGUUUUUAACAUUGCGCUAAUCAUUUGUUAGUGUUUUUUUCAGAACAGUUAAUGUGCUACUUCAGAAUGUGUGAAAUCAUUCACUUUCUGUAGAAAUCUCUGGUGAAAUGCUAGAACAUACAAAAUGAACAGUGGUAGUCCAUAUCUGGCUUCAUAUGUAUGCAAAUUACACUGGAACUAUCUUGGAGCUAACAUAACACUGGUUAGCUGUUAGCACAAAACAGGUUUGCUUGUGCAAACAGACGUAGGCUGCCUUCAAAUCCUAUCGGAAAUCUCUUCCUGAGUGUGCAGAGAGCUCUGUGUCUCCGAACGCCGUGCAUGCACGAUACUGCUCAUCCUAAGCACACAGUAGCCCAAGAGCUCAACUAUACUGAAUAAAACAUUGAACACAAUAUAUUUUGUCACCAUGUUACACAUUUAAUACAUCUGUUACUAACAGACUCGUAGUAUACUUUUCCAGAUUAACAAAGUAAUAAUGGAACAAUUUAUCAAUUAUACAAAUAGUAGUUAGUUGCGGCACUGAUGAAAAUAAAUAAUUUGCAGGAAUGAUCGUGAUCGGAAGCUUUUUUUGGUCCGACUACACAACCGUUCGUUCUGGUCUACUAAUCUGACUGGACUAGAGGUGUUCCAAGAGUGCUGAUGUUUAGAACAACAGUCCUGCUACAGUACGUUUCACUGUUUGUCUGUGUUCACUACAUAAAAUUCCAGCUCUAGCAAUAGUUCACUGCAUUGAAACCGUUACUACACUUUCUAUGCGCUGUCAAUCAGUCUGUGUGGUGGCAUGGCAACGCCCAACACACUACCCCAGCUUUGGCUUCUUUGGGAAUUAUUUUGACGGAGCACAGAAAAACUAAAUAUUUGGCCAUAUUGUUAAUAUUAACUUGAAUUACUUGAUAUUAAUUUCUUGUUUAUAGAACUGUUGUAUAAAAGCAAUAUCACAAGACUCCAUUACUAAAGAAAAGG